AUUGAACGCUGGCGGCAGGCCUAACACAUGCAAGUCGAACGGAUCCUUCGGGAUUAGUGGCGGACGGGUGAGUAACACGUGGGAACGUGCCCUUUGGUUCGGAACAACUCAGGGAAACUUGAGCUAAUACCGGAUGUGCCCUUCGGGGGAAAGAUUUAUCGCCAUUGGAGCGGCCCGCGUCUGAUUAGCUAGUUGGUGAGGUAAAGGCUCACCAAGGCGACGAUCAGUAGCUGGUCUGAGAGGAUGAUCAGCCACAUUGGGACUGAGACACGGCCCAAACUCCUACGGGAGGCAGCAGUGGGGAAUCUUGCGCAAUGGGCGAAAGCCUGACGCAGCCAUGCCGCGUGAAUGAUGAAGGUCUUAGGAUUGUAAAAUUCUUUCACCGGGGACGAUAAUGACGGUACCCGGAGAAGAAGCCCCGGCUAACUUCGUGCCAGCAGCCGCAGUAAGAC
rnacentral:rRNA from 1 species